rnacentral:rRNA from 1 species
UGCAAGUCGAACGGAAACAGGAAGUAGCUUGCUACUUUGCUGUCGAGUGGCGGACGGGUGAGUAAUGCUUGGGAAUAUGCCAAAACGUGGGGGACAACAGUUGGAAACGACUGCUAAUACCGCAUAAUGUCUUCGGACCAAAGCAGGGGACCUUCGGGCCUUGCGCGUUUUGAUUAGCCCAAGUGGGAUUAGCUAGUUGGUAAGGUAAUGGCUUACCAAGGCGACGAUCCCUAGCUGGUCUUAGAGGAUGACCAGCCACACUGGAACUGAGACACGGUCCAGACUCCUACGGGAGGCAGCAGUGGGGAAUAUUGCACAAUGGAGGAAACUCUGAUGCAGCCAUGCCGCGUGUGUGAAGAAGGCUUUCGGGUUGUAAAGCACUUUCAGUGGGGAGGAAAGGGUUGUAGUUAAUAGCUGCAAUCUGUGACGUUACCCACAGAAGAAGCACCGGCUAACUCCGUGCCAGCAGCCGCGGUAAUACGGAGGGUGCGAGCGUUAAUCGGAAUUACUGGGCGUAAAGCGCGCGUAGGUGGUUAAUUAAGUCAGAUGUGAAAGCCCAGGGCUCAACCUUGGAACUGCAUUUGAAACUGGUUAACUAGAGUUUUGUAGAGGGUGGUAGAAUUUCAGGUGUA